rnacentral:RNase_P_RNA from 1 species
CGAGCCGGCCGGGCGGUCGCGUGGGGAUCGCAAGAUCCUCCCGAGGAACGUCCGGGCUCCACAGGGCAGGGUGGUGGGUAACGCCCACCCGGGGUGACCCGCGGGACAGUGCCACAGAAAGCAAACCGCCCGGGCCGCACGGCCCGGGUAAGGGUGAAACGGUGGUGUAAGAGACCACCAGUGCCCAGGGUGACCUGGGCAGCUAGGUAAACCCCACCCGGAGCAAGGUCAAGAGGGGCCAUCGGCUGAUGGCCCUGCGCGGACGAUCGAGGGCUGCCCGCCCGAGUCCGCGGGUAGACCGCACGAGGCUGUCGGCAACGGCAGCCCUAGAUGGAUGGCCGCCUCCCGGCCGACCGCAAGGUCGCCCGGAGACAGAACCCGGCGUACAGGCUGGACUCGUCCG